rnacentral:rRNA from 1 species
GACGGAAGGUGCAAGCGUUGCUCGGAAUCACUGGGCGUAAAGGGUGCGUAGGCGGCCGGGCAAGUCGGGGGUGAAAGCCCCGGGCUCAGCCCGGGAAGUGCGCUCGAAACUGCGCGGCUCGAGUGCCGGAGGGGAGAGUGGAAUUCCUGGUGUAGCGGUGAAAUGCGUAGAUAUCAGGAGGAAUACCGGUGGCGAAAGCGACUCUCUGGACGGCAACUGACGCUGAGGCACGAAAGCGUGGGGAGCAAACAGG